rnacentral:rRNA from 1 species
GACGAACGCUGGCGGCGUGCUUAACACAUGCAAGUCGAACGGUAAGGCCCUUCGGGGUACACGAGUGGCGAACGGGUGAGUAACACGUGGGUGAUCUGCCCUGCACCUCGGGAUAAGCCUGGGAAACUGGGGCUAAUACCGGAUAGGACCCUGGGAUGCAUGUCCUGGGGUGGAAAGCUUUUGCGGUGUGGGAUGGGCCCGCGGCCUAUCAGCUUGUUGGUGGGGUGAUGGCCUACCAAGGCGACGACGGGUAGCCGGCCUGGGAGGGUGACCGGCCACACUGGGACUGAGAUACGGCCCAGACUCCUACGGGAGGCAGCAGUGGGGAAUAUUGCACAAUGGGCGCAAGCCUGAUGCAGCGACGCCGCGUGAGGGAUGACGGCCUUCGGGUUGUAAACCUCUUUCAGCACCGACGAAGCGCAAGUGACGGUAGGUGCAGAAGAAGGACCGGCCAACUACGUGCCAGCCGCCGCCGUAA